rnacentral:rRNA from 1 species
AGAGUUUGAUCCUGGCUCAGGAUGAACGCUAGCUACAGGCUUAACACAUGCAAGUCGAGGGGCAGCAUGGUCUUAGCUUGCUAAGGCCGAUGGCGACCGGCGCACGGGUGAGUAACACGUAUCCAACCUGCCGUCUACUCUUGGACAGCCUUCUGAAAGGAAGAUUAAUACAAGAUGGCAUCAUGAGUCCGCAUGUUCACAUGAUUAAAGGUAUUCCGGUAGACGAUGGGGAUGCGUUCCAUUAGAUAGUAGGCGGGGUAACGGCCCACCUAGUCUUCGAUGGAUAGGGGUUCUGAGAGGAAGGUCCCCCACAUUGGAACUGAGACACGGUCCAAACUCCUACGGGAGGCAGCAGUGAGGAAUAUUGGUCAAUGGGCGAGAGCCUGAACCAGCCAAGUAGCGUGAAGGAUGACUGCCCUAUGGGUUGUAAACUUCUUUUAUAAAGGAAUAAAGUCGGGUAUGCAUACCCGUUUGCAUGUACUUUAUGAAUAAGGAUCGGCUAACUCCGUGCCAGCAGCCGCGGUAAUACGGAGGAUCCGAGCGUUAUCCGGAUUUAUUGGGUUUAAAGGGAGCGUAGAUGGAUGUUUAAGUCAGUUGUGAAAGUUUGCGGCUCAACCGUAAAAUUGCAGUUGAUACUGGAUAUCUUGAGUGCAGUUGAGGCAGGCGGAAUUCGUGGUGUAGCGGUGAAAUGCUUAGAUAUCACGAAGAACUCCGAUUGCGAAGGCAGCUUACUGGACUGUAACUGACGCUGAUGCUCGAAAGUGUGGGUAUCAAACAGGAUUAGAUACCCUGGUAGUCCACACGGUAAACGAUGAAUACUCGCUGUUUGCGAUAUACGGCAAGCGGCCAAGCGAAAGCGUUAAGUAUUCCACCUGGGGAGUACGCCGGCAACGGUGAAACUCAAAGGAAUUGACGGGGGCCC